rnacentral:rRNA from 1 species
GGAGUUAGCCGGUGCUUCUUCUGUGAGUGAUGUCCUUCCUGCCGGCUAUUAACCCGCAGGCCUUCUUCCUCACUGAAAGUGCUUUACAACCCGAAGGCCUUCUUCACACACGCGGCAUGGCUGGAUCAGGGUUGCCCCCAUUGUCCAAUAUUCCCCACUGCUGCCUCCCGUAGGAGUCUGGGCCGUGUCUCAGUCCCAGUGUGGCUGAUCAUCCUCUCAGACCAGCUACGGAUCGUCGCCUUGGUGAGCCGUUACCUCACCAACCAGCUAAUCCGACAUAGGCUCAUCCGAUAGCGCGAGGCCCGAAGGUCCCCCGCUUUCCCCCGUAGGGCGUAUGUGGUAUUAGCCUGGGUUUCCCCCAGGUUAUCCCCCACUACCGGGCAGAUUCCUAUGCAUUACUCACCCGUCCGCCGCUCGCCACCAGGAGCAAGCUCCCCGUGCUGCCGCUCGACUUGCAUGUGUUAGGCCUGCCGCCAGCGUUCAAUCUGAGCCAGGAUCAAACUCUGA